GGUCAUCUGGGGUCAGAAACUAGGUCACCAGAGUUCAAUAGGUCAGGUGAGCGAUACAGGGCCUUCAUGGCCCUCUUUUUUUUUUUCUGCCAUUCUUCCAAACUGCUGAGGAGGAGAUACUGCUUCAAAAGAAUGGCAGAGUUGCUUUUUAUUACAGCUGCCAAGGCCUGACAAAUCCCUGAACUAUUGAUCGAGCCUACAAACGGUACCAUCGAGGAUUCCGGUGCUAAUAUAUCCGCAAGAUGGAUCGUGUGGGAGUAACUAACUGGUCUGCAAUUCUGCGCCGGCAGUGUUUAGAUGAAGGUUGUUUCUCAAGGUUUAGAGAGAUGGGAAUUGGGGAUUGUUAGGAUUUUAUUUCUUUCAGGUCCAAACCCUGCCUUUUACAACUGACUGUUUGUUCCGUCCAUACUUACAGUCGGCAGGAUUUUCUUUCAGCGUCAAGACAUGCCUAGGUUAACUUCUUUGUGGAGUAGGCAGGAUUUUUUCUUUUCCAGUUUCAAGGUCUGCCUUAGACAGCAACUGUAUGUUCAUCUGAACAUACAAAGGGCAGAAUAUUUCUUGCAGAUUCCAAGGCCUUACAGAUCCCUUAACUGUUGAUCAAGACAGAUAUCGUACCCAAUCGAGGAUACCGGUGAUAAUAUGUCCGCAAGGUUGGAAACGUUUGGGAGUGACUGGUCUACAAUUCCGGCCGGUGGGUUGCUAGAUGAUAGUUGUUCCUUUGUUGAGUGAGAUGGGAAUCAGGGAUUGUAAGGAUUUUAUUUUUUAUCAGGUACAUGCCCUGCCUAGAACAUCUAAUGUGUGUUAAACUUGGACGGAACAUACAUUGGGCAGGAUUUCUAUUUUUUCCAGAUUCAAGGCCUGCCAGGAGCGGGCAGGAUUUUUUCUCGUUUUCAGAUUUUCUGCCAAGUAUUACCUUCCAUUACCAGGACAGGCCGGACUGGCAGACUUUUUUUUCUUGUAUGUUAAUUUGCUCAGCUCACUUCUGCACUUCUUUUUAUUAAAGCAAGCUUUCUUAAUAUAACAAUUCUGUGGCAGCUUUGCCUGUUUUGGCUUAUUGAUAAUUUCAGUCAUGAGUGCAAGAGACAUUCCCACGGCAAUUUGAAAGCAUUCCAGCCCUUGCAUAUGUCAUCUACGUUAAGUCUGUAUGUUGUCUUCAUUUAAAACCAGUUGUUGGAUUUCUGCAAAGAAGAAUGUGCACUAUAACACAUGCAGCCACGAACAGAGACCAUAAAAAGGGAUUGGCUAAAAUCGAAAACGGUGAAAUAGAGAAUGUGAAGAGGACCGACGACAGGAUGAGAAUAGGUAAUGAAGAAAAUAAUGAUGAAGGAAAAUCAACAGAUGCAGGGGAGACCAAUGAUGGUGCAGAAAGUAGAAAUUUUGCUUGAUUAUGAGACCAGUAUCAUGGUCAUUAAGACCAGUAACUCAACAUCUGUUUGGCAGUUGCUGAGACACACCUUGGAGAAACAAGUCCUGAACUUUCCAGAUUUGUCGGAGAAAGGCAGGUUUAAGGAACUGCAGAGAAUGCAAUAGUACCCAGUCUUGAACCAGAAC
rnacentral:lncRNA from 1 species